rnacentral:tRNA from 1 species
UCCCCAGUGGCUCAGAUGGUAAAGAAUCUGCCUGUAAUUCAGGAGAGCCAGGUUCGAUCCCUGGUUUGGGAA